ensembl:lncRNA
CUGCUGUCCUGUACUUUAGAUUUGAAAAGUAUAUAUAGUUUUAAUUAUUAAUGACACAUCAGUUUGAUACACGUGACAAUGAGGCAGCAGAGAUGCUCCAUAGUUUUGCAUGGGGUUUGUGGCUGCUCGUGCAAACCCACAUGAACGAGCAAUAUCCGAGCCUUUGCUUCAGCUCAGCUCAGAGCAAAGUGUCCCAGCACACAGGACUGCCUUGCCAGGUGCUGACAGCCCUCCCGCAUGCACACAACCAGUGCCUUGCUCAGAAAGACUGGAGGAGGGGGAGUGGAAUGAGGGUCAGCAAUUUGCUCCCUGUUGGAAAUAUCCCAACAGCAAGGAUAUCGAAGCUGACCUUUAAGCAGAAGCUGACGAAAAGCUGCUACAAAUUAAUCUCUUAACAUUUUAAUUUAAUGCACGUUUUGUUCCAAGAACAGGGGUGACCCAGGAAAGGGUUAAUCCGAGCUGUGCACCUAGCACAUCCACACCAGAUUUGCAGCAGUGUGGGUAUAUACAUGCAUUUCUAUCACAUACACAGGUAUUUCUUUAUCAGAGGCAUGUGGGCUGGACAGCAGACGGGCUCUCCUCUCACCACGGUGGGGUGUGGGAUGCCACACAAAUUCCAUCAGGGCGACCUGCAGCCCAUCAGCAUUGCAGCAUCACAGGGAGCCCCAUGGGAGCAGGGACACUUUCCAGCAUCACUCAGAGCCACUUCAUUGGCUUCUUUAUUUUUAUUCUUUUUCAUGUUGUGAUGCCCUAACGUCAUUGUUGGUGGGAAAGAGCUGAAAAACAGACAGGUUCUGACCAGUCCCUCUCUGCCAUCAGUCUCACAGCAUAACCGAACUGCUUUAGUUGCACUUAAUUGUGCUGUUUGUUUGUUUCCAUGUUGUCAUCAGACAAUAAAUCCAAAGCAAUCACUGUCCAAAUUUUUACAGUUUUCCCAAAGGGAAUGUCAAUUACCUUUCCCUCCCAGCACCGCUGACCUCUGCCACAUACAAAUCCCACUUUUAUUCGGAAAAAUGCAGCCACUUGCUCCAAUUAUUCAGCCUGCACUCUGAGGUGAGCAUAAAAAAAGAGUGUUCAGUAGGUACAUCCAGCCUGUAAAGGCUCAGAGGUUGGGUGCCAUUGCUCUGCAGUACAUGGGCAUGUCCAACCCACAGCCCCACGAGCUGCAGAUAGAUGAGGAGAGUAAUGUAAUUCCAUCUUUGGAAAUGUCAGACUUUAUGGAUGAAUAAAAUACAUUCCAUUUUCUUCUGUUUAUCAAUAUCGGGUGAGAACAGACUAGAAAUUGCUUAUAAAUGGAUAGCAUAAGGAGAGAGGCCAUCUAUUUGUUAUCUAUAGCAGAAGCUGAGCACUGAUCCUACUGUGGCAGCCACAGGUCAUAGAAUCAAAGAAUCACAGAAUAUCCUGAGUCAGAAGGGACCCAUGAGGAUCACUGAGUCCAGCCCCAUCACCUCUGCAUAGAAUACAAUAAAUGACUAAAAUAGAAAAGCGAGGCAUGGAUAGAAGAAAGAGCAACGUCGGGUUCUCCUCCGUUCAGCCAAUAAUUCUGACUACACAGUGUUUAAUGUUUGGUGAUGCCAUGUACUGGUUUUUCCAUAAGAUGGUCUCAAAGCCGCUGUGUGCUCUGAGUUUCGAUGGGAAAUCCACGGUGCCAUGUGAGGGUGGGCUCCCCAGAGCUCCAUGGGGUGUGCAGGAGGGAUACAGUCCCCAACAGCACCAUAACGGUUAAAGGAGAGAUUUCAGGAAGGGGAACAGAACAGCAGAGAGUGAACUUUGCAGAUAAAUUAUAGCUAAAGAGGAAUGAAACAUUAUAGUUUCAAUUACUGCUGUGCCCAGCCACGCAGGUAGUAAUUCAAACAAGAAACAAUUGGCGGAUUGUCACCCUCAAAUCAGACACAUACCAUUUAAUUCCAUUUACUGAGGGUUCACUGACUGUAUUUUGAAUCAAAUACAGCCAUUAAUGUGCAAAGAUCUGAAAAAUGCAUGUGUCCCUUUUACAAAUGUGACAAUGAGACGCUAAUUCCUGUAAAGCCCUUUUUUCUUCAGGUUGGACUGCUCCUAUUGCCUUUAGUUAUGCAGAUAUUACUUAUUAAGAGUUUUAAUAUGUCAGGCUGGUUCUUUUGAAAUGCCUUGUGCCUUUUUGUUCAGAGCGUGCGGAAAGCGCAGCUAAAUCCAUUCUUACGUUCCAUCAUCCAAACUUAGCAAAUUGAUUCGAAUGCAGGAAAAAAAAAAAAGCUACUUUCAUUAAAACAAUUAAAUCCUUACUAUUAUUGCUGUAUCUGGCUAUUACAGCACAAAUAUAAAUCAUCGGUUACAGGAGCUAAAAGCUUUCAGCUGGAAUUGCUCUACCGUCUGCCCCAUGCCAUGGGCAGGGAGGAAGGAUGACGUGCACCAGGCUUCUUUAUGGGAGAUGCUGCUGCCUAAAUAAAAAAGUCAAGUCCAUAAAGUGAAUAUUAUUGUGCUACCUUGUUUCUCCCCAGCAGUGAAGCAAUGCAUGCCAAUGGGCAGAGCGAAUAGGAGGAAAUAGUUGGGUUGGUUUUCCCGCUCCUCGUGAAUUGGGGGACAUUUUGGAAGGGGCACAAAGGUUUCGGGGGCAGUUGAGUGCUUUUGUUUUCCUUUUCUAAAUAAACCACGGAUCUGCACUGCCACACACUCCCCGUGGGGUCACGAAGUGUGCUGCAGAAUAAAAACGGAGCUUUCUGUGAUAGUGCACUUGCCCUUCAGAGCCGCUUGGAUUGCAUCAAAGGGCAAAUUGUUUAAAUAUAAUUUUCCUGAUUACUGAAUAGGUCGACCGAACAGGAUAUGAAAUGCAAAGGCUUUUCUCAUCUUGCUCUUUGCAUCAUCCUAGGGCACACCUCGCUACAGGUGCUGCCUGUUGGCUCAAGGACACUUCCAGGCGGCAGAAUAUCAAAGGAGCAGGGAUGGACAGCCCAGUGCAUCCUGCACAUUUUAAAUUGCUUAAAAAGACUCUUUUGCAAAGGGAGUCUGAGGCAGGGACCGAAAUCAGUGCUCAGCAUGUGGAUUAGACAAACAGAGUGGUCAUUAGCGCUGAUUGUCAUUGUCACACAAGCACAGACUGUUAAUUCAGCCCAGGAGUCAUUAGAAACGAGCCUCAGCGGGGAGAGGGGUUGGUGUUGGUGUAGAUGCUGGAUGGUGGCUCUGCUGGCUUGGCAGAACAUGAAGGAGACCCCUGAGAUCCUACACUGCUCCGGUUGUAAAUUCCAAAUGGAAACUCCCAGGAAUUUGCCAGGAAAAGGAUAAUCACUCAUUAUUCUCAUUUGUGGAAAGCUGUUUAAACCCAGCCCUGCUUUUCUCACCCCAUUCCCAAGCUGAGCUCAUCACCUUUCUGAGAAGCCACGCUCUUCCAGGACAGUGUCUCCUCUUCCAGUGAGCUUUUGCCCUGGCUUUUCUCCUGGGUCCAUUUGGGAGGGUUCCAUCUUUGCCCCAGUGCUUUUGCCAGUGGCUGCCACCAUCCAGAGAGAUAUUCAGCCUCAAGGAGUCCCCAGCAAAGAGCACCCACUGCCUUCCAGCCUCACCCCAGCAGCAGCGUUGAGGUCCCACAGCUGCAGAGCAGCGCCCGUUGUGCUGUGCGGGUGCCCCUUUAUUGGAGUUCCUCCCACCACGUGCUUGUAAUUUAUUUGUAUUUCCAGCAGAGAUAAUUGAGUUAUCAAUUCUGUGCUCUUUUGGGCCAGAAGCAAAGAGAUCAGAGAGCUGUUUUAUACACCUAAUUAUAGAUUAUUUCCCAUAGCUAUAAAACCACAGAGGGACAGAUCCAGAGAGCAUCCUUUUCAUCUCCACUGACUUUUGCCUUUGCUCUCUCAGACUCGGAUCAGAAGGGCCUCCAGACAAAACAGUUGUCAAAAGCAAGGGCUCCUUAUCUCCUCACAGGACAAAACCUCUCGGCAUCCCAGUAGAGACCGUGCACAGUUGCUUAAAGAUCAAAUUCAACUUAUACUUAACCAAUCUGCUUAAGCCUUUAGCACCUCAUUGAGUCGUGCUGAGAUUUAUUCCGUUUCUGCACACUUUGGCUAUAAUCUGGUUCAUGACAAUGGCCUGGGGGUCUGCUGAGGAUGUAAAAAAUUGAUUUUCUUUGCCACAUGCAGGCUUUGUGGGCUUGCAUUUGGCAUGGCCCCUCAUGCCCCUGCUAGCUCCUAUGCUCAGCCUGCUCCCUCCUCCCCAGGCAGCUCUGAGCACCCUGCAGCAUCCGCAGAUCCCGCAGAGCUGCAGUGCAGAGCAGGGGUUGAGGUCCGGCAUACCCGAAUUUUCUAUGUAUGGAAAGAAAUGGGAAGUGUCCGUGCGUCGGUGUUAAGUUUCUGGUGGUGACACGCAGAGGCCAUCCGAGAUGUAUGACCUAGCAAAUGUAUUGUAACGCACACAUCACAUUCGUUCUCUGGGUAAAUAGAUAUUGUCUAGGGUACAUUACAUCUGUGCCUUCGUGUUUAAUUUAAUGUAAGUGAACUGCCUUAAUUUCUCCAAAUUGUAGUAAUAAACAUAACGUUAACGGUGAUACUGCUAAUAAUUUAUUUUGCAAGCGAUUAAUCAACAACAAACUCUUUUAAUUACCUGUUCUGAAAUGUCAAACUCUAAACUAAUUACAUGUUAUUACAUGAAUUCAUGUAUAUGUAUACACAAAUACGAAUUCCAAGGGUAAUUAAAAUGAAUAAACCAUCAGAUUUGGUAAAAUCAUGCAGCUGAGAGAAGUUUGCUCUCCACUGCAUUUCUGCCUCUUUGCAUUUCAUCCUCAGCACAAAGGGAGCUAGAUUCCAAGGCUCUGAGCGAGUCGUUUGUGCUUCUGCAAAAAAAUAUUACCCACAGAAAGUGGCAAACCCCGUGGGAUCUAUGCUGAGAACCACAAGGAAGAGAGGAAAGCAGCUGUGCUGCUCUGCUGGGGGGAGUACAGAGUGUGGGGCUCAUUUGGGUGCUCCCUGUGCAGGGGGUGAAACCAAGCAGGACAGAAGUGGGUGGUGUACAUUUGCUGUACUCAAUAAUUGGCAACGAUUUUUGGAAGGAGAUUGGGGGUGAAAUUAACAGAUUUGGGGCACGACCAAAUCUGUUCUCCAUUUUGUGUCCUUGUUGAGUCUCUCAGUGCAGGCACAACACAGUGCUCUUUGCAACACCCUGGUGACCCCUAGAUGAGACUUGGAAGACCACUUCUUUGCACUGGCACUCCAGACAUCAUGGCCAAGUGCCCCCAGCAAUGUGGGGCUGUAUGCCAGUGGGUCACGAAAGGAUGGAGACCACCAGCUUGGAGGGUCUGGGAAUGAAGCCUUUAAUUCAGGGGUGGACACUGAGGCAGUCCCAAUGGCUUGCAGCAUGGGCUGGAAGAACAGGAUGAUUAAUGAGAGCAAUGGCACGAAGGAGCCAGGAACUAAGUAAUGAGACCUUUAUUUGAUACAUAAUACAGCCGGGGCCCUCUAUAAAGAGAAUACCAAGAGUAGGGCUAAGUUUCACAGUUCUGGGAAUGUAUCAGGAAGGGGGAAAGCUUUGCUGACUUUGCAGCCAAACGCCUGGGCCAUCCGCAAGUGUUGUUCGCAGUGAGCUUGGGACAUGUUAAUUUGGUCAUAUAUCUUCAGAUGGUGGCAAGAUGCCCUGACUUUUGAUUUACUGUGCUGAGUGGGUCUGUGUGAUGUUGUGGGUUUAAAAUGAGGUGUCCAGAGCCUGAUUCAGUCACAGGAUCACUGAAUUCCAGCUGGGAGAUGAAGAAGCCGUUAUACACACACAACAAGAACUUCCAGCCAAAAAUUACUUAUGGUUUCAAUUAAAGGAGAAGAAGUUGCUGAUUGUUUAGGUAUGGAUGUCAGAAACACAGCAGUUAACAGCAGAGAUGAAUGAGAGAUAGUGAGGUGAUAACUUAGAUAAAUUGGUAUCUCAUCCAUAUUAAGGAGACAGCUCAUCCUCUGGUGCUGCUGGAUGACAUGAAGAGUGGAGUGUAUAUGGAUACUAAAAAACGUUGGUCUUAAAGUUAAAUCCCCAAGAACCAUCAGAAAUAAGUCUCAGAAGCCAAAGUGAGAUCUGAUGCACGCUGCAAAAAUAUGCAGUCUGUCAGGGAACGCUGCUCUCUCCAUAUAACUUCCACCGUUUGUGGGACAAUUAUAGAGAAAAUGAUACUGUGAUCUGUAAAGCAGUUCCUGCAGUGGUUUUAUUCACUAACUCGAUGCCACGCAUAAUCAUAGCCAGUAACAUCUCCAGAGGUGUGUGCAUAAUAGAGAGACAUCAAGUCAAUGAGUCAAAACAUCAGAAAAUAAAAUUCAGAUGAACAUCACUUGCAGAAAUUCUAUCAUCUGUCAUUUAACGCUGUCUGAAGACCUCCACGUUGAAAUAAGGCGUGGAAACCAGAAGUUACCCCAGGCAGCAGUCCUUAGGACCUGCACGGACUCAGGGCUUUCUGCAAGUUGGGUUGAGUGCCAAAGAAGUUCUCUUGCGAUCUUAAAACUCAAGCACCCAAAAAACACCAUAGAGGGGAAGGCAGGGAGCAGGGAGGAUCUGUCCUGCCGUGUCCCCACCUCAGAUCCUGCCCAGCAUCACCCAAGCAGCCGCUGCUGGGAGCGGAGUUGCUCCUGGAUCACCUUAAGGCUAUUUGCAGCUCUUGCUGAUGCCCUUUCAAUACCCAAUCCCGAAACUUUUCAUGCGAGGAAGCUUGCAGGAUGACAGAUUGCACCUUAAAACAAAGAGGUAAUAGCUCUUAGGUCCAGAUCUGUUCUUGGAACUAAAUUCACUGCAGAAGAAGUGUUUCUGCACAACUGCAUAAUGCCUCAAAGUGGCAUUUUACAAUCUUUAAAUUCCAACACCGAUGAAGAAUUCUGCUUUAAACUACUGCAGCAGCCCAGCCCCCCUUUAUUUAUGAGUAAUAGGCUUUUCAUUUAGAUUUAACUACAGAUUCGAGUGGUUUCCAUGUGCCAGGGCUCGGAGUCACACCAGUGUCUCCUGAGGUGGCCGUGCUGUUUCCACAGAGUCACUCAGGAUCCCCACCAAACCUGUCUUUGCAUACAUACGUGUGUAUUUUAUAUAGAUGUACACAUGCACUUCAUUUUUAAAAAGACAAAGUUUUUAUUCCAGGCUUCAUUUUCCUUUAAACCGUAUGAAGCCAAAGUUCGAAAGGAUGACCCCAAAAUUGCCAGUUUGAUUGUAAUUUCCCCCAAAAGAUUUUGGGUUGUAGGUACAUAGAGAACGAUGGCUUUGCUUCCCCCUUUCUGCUCAUCAUCCCAUGCAACGCUGAUGUGCCAGGAAGCGUGGAUGGGAUCAGGGAGCUUGGUGAGUUUGCCACAUCAGUAGUCACUGAGAGUGCCUGAAGUUUCAUUUUUCAAUGGAAAGCUGCAGUGAAACGAGUAUUUUGCUACUCAUCUUGUUAUUAUUCAUCAGUGCUUCCAAGCACCUCUCAGCCCUUUGUUUCUUGGGAAAGGCAUGGUGCUUAAAGGGGCUGAAAGGUGGAUUUUGUGGAAAGCCCAACCCACAUCUUUGAUCCCAGCGGUUUUGUAAAGCAUUCGUUUUGCUCGCUGGGAAAAUCUCUGCCCUCCCCACUCCCUCACCUCCCCCUCUUUCCCCUCCACCUAAGUUACCUCGUCUGGAUCCGAAGGAACGCUUGCCAUCCUUUGAAGAGGUAGUCUCGUCCGAAAAAUCAAUAGUCAACAUUGUCUUUAAAUAGUCUGACAUUUACCUUUACAGCAGUUUUCAUUUCUUUCCCAGAUUGCUCAGACGUUUGUAUUACCCACACACUACAUCCCUGAUCUCUCGGCCGGGAGCUUUGCACGGAUGCAGCCCCGGUGCUGCAGAGCGGCCACCAGCAAGGAACUGCAGCACGAUAAUUAACAGGACGGGAGCUCACUAAUAGAAGCAUCUUUAACUAAUUUAUGGAAGACAUCAGGUGAGAAUAAUUACAAGCAGAAGGGUAUUGUAAAUCCCUGAAGAAAAUACACUUGGAAUGCAGUUUUCCCAACAAGCAAAUCUGAAUGCUAGCCCAAAGGUCAGAAAUAAAAAGGCUGAGAGCUUCAGCUCCCCGAGCAGGCACCUCUCCGAUCCCUUCUUGUCAAGAAAUUGUCUGGGGGUUCAUUUAGAAAGCUGCUUGUUCAGGGCAGGGCCAUUUGCAAUCUGGGAAAGUUAAGCAAAUUAGCAGAAUUAUUAGGUAAGAGGCAAUUCUCCACAGCCUGCAAGGCAACCGCUUGUUAAAUGAGCUCACACCAGAGAGUUGCACUGAUCGAGUGGUGUUUGCAGAGACGGGGCUGUGCAGGCAUUUGCUCUGAAAUAAUACUGCUGUAUUCCCCUGGAAAAAUUAAAAAAAAAUGGGAAUUUGUGCAGGCUGAGCUGGAAGAUGCCUCUGUCUUCCAUACGCAUUCCUGCUUCUCUGCUCCUUCUGCUAUAAUAAAUAUCAUAAUCCUAGCAAAUGAGAGAAGGAGAUUAACCCGACACCUUUAACCCAGUUACUGCUUAAAAUAGGGAGCAGUGUGGUGCCACGAGGCCCCAAAGCAGGUGGCUCUGCACCCGCUGUCCCCUGGGGCUCAUAGGGACAGCUGUGCACUGCAGCCCCGCUGCUCUGUGCAGUGUUGGGAGUGGGAUCCAACUCAGGUCCUGCAAGGAGCCCACCCAAGGGUGGCUCACACUGCUCACUUGUUUUUAUAUACUCUUUGCCUAUUGAUUUGAUAUUUUUAUACCUUAUACAGUGCACUUAGCACAGAAAAAAAAAAAUGGAUUAACCAAGUAAAUGUGCUUUAUUAGCGGAUCUCUGAUGGAGAAUGAUGUCGGUUUUCCAUUUAAAAGAUGCAUCGGAUUCAUCCACUCAUGAAUCAAUUAGUUCAUGCUUGAGGACCUCCUAACAUGCCACAUAAAAAACUCCCAAUGUCAAACUGCACGCUGGGUGGAACAACCAAGGGUUUCAAAUGAAAAAAGUGCAUCACUGGGAAACCUUUGGCUCUUCCACCACCACUAGGAUGGAAGCACUCUGCCCAACUCUUAGUUAACACAUUCUUUCUGUUCCUUGGUUUCUUAAAAUCUUUCUUUUUUUCAAGUUUUUAUUGACAGCUUUACACUCCUCCCUCUGCUAUACAAUGGAGACGGGCACAUAUCGUAAGCCUUUCCAAUGGUAGUUUUGGGGUCAGGCUGAUUAGAUUUGGGAAGUGUCAAUUGUUGAAUGCUGUCCUCCUUCUGUCUGAGACUAACAACUCUCCCUACUCAGAGGGUUGGCCCUCUUUCUGUCCUUCCUGAGGUUUAGGGCUCAUUGGUCCAUGCUCCACACCAUGAAAAGGCACAUACACUUUCCUAGUGAUUCACAUUUCUGCUUAGAUAAGAACCAACAGGCUCCAUCCCACCCUGGAGCCCCUGGGACUAUGUGGAAGGUCGCAGUGUUUAUUUUUGGUCUUGUCCAAUUAAAGACAAUGACCUGGAGUAGAUGAGAUGCCUGGGCAUGCAUUCAUAUCACAGGCAUAAUGCAAGAACCGUAGGCAUUUAAAUGGGAAUUCUUUCUCACCCGGUUAGACCGAUGCGUAAGGAAAUAAUCCAAGUGGGGCAUUGACAAGAUAUUUUUUGUUGUAAGUCUGCAUGCUAAAACCCCUAAAUAAAAGGAUUUUACUCCUUGAGAGAAAGAGGAAAGGCUAUGCACACCCAGCCUGAGGUGUCACUACAACUCAAUGGGAGCAAUGCACGAGCACUGAGCUGCUGGGAUGGCUGCCUGCACAUUGGGUGCCCACACUAUGUACAGAGCAGAGGGCACUGCUUAAACCUCAGUCAAAUAAGUAAACAUGGACAAGGAAGUAAAAACAGACGCACUUUUUUCUCAUUGCUGCGAAGAAUUCAGGCCAUGCAAGCACCAGGGCUGUGCAAAGAAGAGCAACUAUGUUUAAGAGCAUCCUUCUCUCUCUUGGAUGUACAUCCAACAGCAGAUAACAUCACCCAGCCCUUUCUGCUUUUGGAAACCAUGUGCAGCACAACUUGCUGCUCACAUUUAAUCCAAACUGAUGUCCUACGGCUGUCAUAUGCAUGAUUAUGGCAGUCGUUUUUAAUUAGUGAUUGUGUCAAUAGUAUUGACAUUUUCAUCACUUUUGGGGGAAGUAGAGAAUAUUUUCCAGCAGGUGAAGUCCCCUCUUUGCAGUUCUCUUCCCCUCCAGCUGCACCUACUGGAUAAAUGAGCUAUGCAUCUUAUUAAAAAGAAAGCAAGAGCAUUAAGUCUGUUCUCUGCUUAAGUACAUUACAGCAACUUAGGCAACACGAAACUCAAGAAAGGCAGAAAAGCAAAUACCCUCUGUCCUAUGGCAAGAUUUACAAUCUUGUUCUGAGUGCAAUAUUUAUUAUACGGCUUAACAGAAGCUCUGGCAGGAUGGGGGAAAUGCUGGCGGCCCCGUGACAAGGAGGAGGCGUUCAAUAGCUUGCUGGGAAGUGGAGUUGGACACGAACUGAUCAACCAGCCAUUACACUCAGUGAUAAACACCCUGCAGGAGCCAUCAUUCACCCAGGAAGAAAGAGGAAGGCAGAUCAUUACAUUUAUUGGUCAUAGUUUUUAAAGAGUCAAUAAAGACCCACUAGAAAAGACACGGUUAGGAGCAGGAAUAUAUAUAUUUUUUUCAUGUAUCUUGAAAAUACCUUCAGCUCAGUUUGCUUUCUGCCCAAUACGUCAGGGUGAAUCUUCAUCCUAGGUGAUGGUCCCAGUGUAGACGGUGCUCAUAUUGUACAGUUUUUAAUGUCUUUAACCAUCUUUAGCUUUGUACCCUGAUAGCCCCUCCAGGCUAUAUGUCAAUGCCAUCUGGGAGUAAAAGAAGAGACUUCUGCUCAAGUAACGCUGUAAUGUAGAUCUCUCGACUAAAAUUGCACUUCCUUCACUUGACAAACUGUCAGCACAGAACAAUUAUCUGCCUGUUGGUUUGCUUGUCUUUUCUUUUUUUCUCCUCUCAGAAAAAAGAAAAAAAAAGAAAAAAGAAGAAGAAAAAAAAAACCAUACAAAGGAAAAGGACCUGCAGAGUAAAAUGCCGUGGGCAAAAUCCACAUAAUCUGAUUGCUGCGCCCAGAGAUGCAUUGGUGGACCACCAAAGGUAAAAGUGGGUCUAAUGCUAAAGGAGAGGGACAAUUUCUAGCUCCUUUCUUUCGGGGAUUUCCAGAGAGGAUAUUGCUAAAUAGAAGAUUAGGGAGGAAGAGGCAAGAGUCAUUAGACCCCUCUGCUUGUCUUGAGGGAGAAACCAAAACAGGCUGGAAGAGUCCAAAGCUUGUGUCCUGCUCAACAAGCUGAAGGAACCAUUUGAUUUUUCUCUCCUGGUAAGAAAGGAUGAGGAUGAUGUCUUUAGGGAAGAGAGCCAACCUGAUUUUUUGCUAGCCAUCUUGGUGUUAAUGGGACCGUGCAGUUCAUUUGGAGAAUACCCACAAAGCAUGAGUAGAGCCCCAAGAGGUGUAAUCUAAAUUAGUGGGUAAAUUUAUUUGUGCACUUUUUUUUUACUGUUUUAUUUUCCUUCUUCCCUUCUGUACCACCUCUUUUGCCACCUCCUCUGCCUCACUUGACAGAUGAAUGUGUUCAGGUCUUUGGGACAGAUAAUGUGUCUGUAUCCCUUUUAAAAGUCCUGUACAAACACUAUGGAUAUGAGAGUGCAGGUGUAUUUAGUCUGGUGUGUUUAGCAGAUUUAGAUUAUGAAUUACUGCUCAAAAUAACGUUUGCAUUUGCUGACAAAGGUCUUUAUUACAGAAGAGGUCAAGAAAAAAAGAUUAUUCCUGCUAAUUAUCCACUGCUAUUUAAUAUUUGCACAAAAGGUUUGCAAGACAGAGUCCUCAGCAUUGCUUUGUUUGAGAAGCUAAUAGGGUUUCUAGGAAACCAGCAGGGUCUGGAGGGCCAUCAGAUCAGCCUGUUAGUGGCUAUGAAGGACAAUUAGGCCUGAUGGAGUUACAGGGUGGUUGGCUAAAGGAUGGCAGUCCCUGAGCCAGGGCCUGAUGCUGGGGCAUUCAAAGUCAGUGGUAGAACUUCCACUCAGAGCUGUGCUUUAUGAGAAGCCAACUGGAGAGGAUCCAGUUUUCACACCCUGGGUAGGUCCAUGUCCUGGUUGAAAUGGAAGCUCCAUUUGCUCCUAUGCAGAGCAUCAGAAGGGAUUUGAGGGUGAACAGGUUUGACAGACAAACUGUUGGGAGGAAUAUUAGCAAUUAUUUUUUGGCCCUGGUCUUAGGUUUGUCCCUGUAUAUUAGCAGUCCUUGGAAAGUUCCCCCAAAGUCUAACAGCUGCCUUUGGCUUGGCCCCCACAUUUCUUGCAUUGGUUCAUAGUAGCCUGUAUCGUUCUACAAAUUCCUUAUUAAGUGAAUUGAAGUUCCCAUUCAUAAAGAUAUAAUUAACCAAUAAAUAUACCUGCAGAAAUUUCCAAACGUAGAUGUCUGAAGGUGAGAUCCAUGUUUAAGCUCCUAAAUACAUGGCCCAACUUUAAAAUCCCCACAUCCAUCUUCUUGCUUCAAGUGAAAUGGAAGCUUCCUACUAUUCAGUGCUCAGAUGGCUGUGGGGUACCAAAACACAGACCAAGGUGAUGUUUUGGCACACGGGUUUAUAGAGUGAUCAAAGUAGUGUGACAUCAUUGCACAACAACUGCAUCAGAUGAUAAAAUGCCAUGUACUCCCAUAUAACAUGUUGUAUGGAUGCAUACCGCUGUUCCCAUAUAUAUCCAGAACUCUUCUGGGAGGAUUUCUGGGACAACAAAUGCUUUCAGUAUUUCCUGCAGAGGAACAUGUGCCUGGGAUCUGUGUAGAUGCCAACAGCCAAAGCCUGGGAGCCCCAUUAAAAGAAAUCACCCUGAGCUGCUGCAGCAGGGUGGUGUGAAGGAGAACAUCCUCCUCCAACAGUUCAUGCACAGCUUCCCACUUAUGCAUUUUUCAGAACGAAUGCAGCAAAUAUACCUGAUCAGUGCUGAUACAACUGCUUCUCCUCCCCGACAUAUUUACACUAAGAGAUUGAUGAACCACAGGAAAAGAAGAAAAUAACAGAACAAACAACUUAUCUUCCCAGAAGCUCCCUAGAAACUUAUCUGUCAUCACUGCCCAGGCUGCAGCAAGAGGGGAUUUCAGCAUGGAAGGUAUUCUCAGUGUAUGCUGUUCACUCUGAGGGAACUUUUGACACCCAAGCAUUCUUUUCAGUGUGAGAAGCGAUUACUGCUUCCCAAAGGGGAGAGCUGGAGACCUGAGCCCUCAGCUCUGCACAUGCUCCUCAACCCCAACUUGUUCUCAGGAAAAAGUACCAGGUAUUUGCCUGAUCUAACGGAAUACAUGGAAAAAAAACAAACAACAACAACCAAACCACUAUUUGGAUUUCAGUAGGACUUCAGCAUAGACGCUUUGACACUUAAGGUGAGAAAAAUGAGCUACAGAGGAAAGCAUGGGUUUCCUUUUAGCUGAGGAGGGAUGCUCCUGCAGCUCCACUGCUCCUCAUGUCUUUGUCUUUAAAACACUCAGUGACAUAAAAAUUAGACGCACGUUAAACCUCAAAUCUAGCAAAUAGCUCCAUCUCUUAAAGCAUGUGAAUACUCCUGAUACUAUUAAGAACAUUUAACCGGUACCUGAGGGACUGGGGACCUGGAGUCAGGCGACCCAGUUUCCUACAUAAGAAAAGAGAGAAAUGUCUGCCUCCUCUAAUGCCAGGGGUUAUCCUGGGCCAGGUAUCUUUAAAAAGUAAAGAUGUGAGCAAUCUCAUAUCAGACUUAUGCAUCCAAAUGGCUCAUUAUACCAGCAGUAAUAGCUUGUGAUAGUCCUAUAGAUUUACAGUACUUAGGAAGAGAUGAUGCCCAACGUCCUUUCCCAACAAUCAUUAUGACAUGGGGAAAACCAGUGAUUUUCUUUAAGUCCAUUAGCAUAAUAUUUGUGCUUAUGAGGAUUAGACCAGCAGACACUUCACAGGUCUUUAGAAACAUAAGCCCAACACAUUCAAAUGGAGACUUUUUUUGGAACAAAGCUAUUAUCUCUCAAAUCACCCAAUAUUGCUGGCCAGUUUGGGGCAGCUGGGAAGCAGCAGGUGCUUCCACCCCAUUCCCUGCCUUGCCAGCCCCAGAAUUCCCAUUUCGUGAGCAGCUCAGCGCAUGGAACAAAACACAAGGAGGGAACUUCAGAUCAAAACGUUUAUUCUUCAUUGCAGCGGAUGAAACACAGGCACGAGGCUCCUGGGGGGGAGGUGUCUGAGCAAUCACACGUAAAACGUACAGCAUUUGCACUUGAAAUACACAGACCUGAAUCACAGCUGGGAUCAAUACAGGAGGACGAUAGAGAUUAUCAAUCUUGAGUGGUCUCCGUUACACAGAAUUGACUGGCAGCCACAUAAUGGCUCGGGCUCAGCCCACCAGUUUAGAGCCCGGGUGACAGAUCUGCAGACGCCAGCCAUCAGCAUCCCUCCUUGGCCCCUCUCACGUGCCCAUUUCUUCUGCUGUCCGGGUCAGCCUCCGAGGUGCGUCUGAGAGAUCAAUGCACAGCUACAGCUGGUUGAAGGGGACCAAAUCCAUUGAACAGUUGAUUUGGUUCCAUUUUACCAGCUUUAGCAAAGCAUUUGGCCUCACGCUCUGCAAAGCAAAGAGGGGAACUCCUCAGGGCCUUUUCCUUCACAGUCGCCAGGACCUCUUCUGAACUUGCUGCCUGACGUUGCACGGGUUCACAUGGCUUCGCUUUCAGGCAUUCAGGAUUUAUUUAAGCUUCUUAGCAGCUUUGGCUGAAGAGCGAGUCUGAAUUAAAGAGGCAGUUUUAAAAGCAGUGGAACAGUCUGCAGCACUCAGUGCCUGCCUGUAGCCUUUUAAACCCGGUGUUUGGCUCUGUUUUGAAGCUGCAUUGCUACCACAGUGUGACUGAGUAGUGUCCUAAUCCAGGUCAUUUAAUUGCCACCUCCAGCCUUCUUUCUUUCAGAUCUUUUGUCUGCUAUCCCCACCCGUGCCCUGCAUUCUGGUAACUCAAGUUUUCUCAUCUACCUUUAAAAUCAGUGCUUUCCAUGGCUUUCAGAUCUGUUGAAGACAAGCAAGGACUGUAUUUACCACCAUCGGGAGGGCGUUGAGUGGAAGAGAAAGCGGAGCAGCCCUGCAGCCUCCCAGCCCCAUCCUCUGCAAGGGCUCAGCCUGCAGCUCCCGGAGAGCCCCACGCUGUGAGCACCCACUGCUCCCAAUAACUCAGUAAAUCAGAUUUUUAAAUCACAGCAGCAGGAGCCAAUAAAGCCAGACCUCUCCUUCGUAACCCAGCGCCACGCGCAGAUAUUGCACAUCGCCACGUGCGUAACCUAUUUAAAGAAUUUACAUGCAUCGCGAGGCAAAGGUGACUUUUUCCCCCCUCUCCCUCACAGCCCACCGCACACACCACGACAUGACACCGAGAAAAAAGCACCUGUGCUGAAAGGCACUGCAUGCAGAGAUAUUGCAUGUGGGCCGGUAUUGCUGGUCCCCAAGAAAUCCAGGCUUUGCAUUGUAACAGUAAGUAGUGCAGAUCACUUAACUGCCCAGCCCCAGUACUGUAAGCUGCCUAUAAAUAAAUGCGGAGAGAGAGCGAAAGAGAGAGAGAACAUCUUUUUUAAAAGAGCUCUACAAUUAAUUUAAUCGAGUUAUCUCUAGGUACCUUUUCAAGAGACAAUCAAGCCAAGGAGCUAAAUGGAAACUUAGACAGUGAGGACCUAGAAGUAUUAAACUCAUCCUUUGGUGAGUUAUAGGAGGGAGGGAAGUAAUUAUUUACCAGAGAACGGGAGGAGGUGGAAGUGCCAGCAGUGACCGAUGCUGCACCGAGACUGCAAGCUAAACCCUGACGGGCAUAUGGAUUUUGGGAGGCAGAGCAAUGAACUGCCCGAACAUCAGCAUGGCGUGCUCCAGGUGCCCUUGUCCUGUCCCCAUCCCAUUGGUUUUGGCAGGAAGGGCGUUAAAACAAGCAUCUUCUGCUGGAGAUGAGUGCUGCUCUGUUCCCCUCGCUUUGCUUCAGGGAGUGCCCCGCAGCACAUCCGAAAUCAAUGCCAGCACGCGCCGACAUUCCGUAACGUUUUGUUUGAAUUCUCUGCAGUGAGUUAUGAGUGAGGUUUUCCUUUUUAGAAAAUUAGGUUUUCUCUUCUGGAUGCCAUUAAUCACGACUAACGAUGGCUCUGGCGGCGAGGCUUUCCCAGAACUGAGGAAAAGCAUCCCCACACCUCUGCUGCAGGGCUGCAGCACAUGGGGCUCACAGCCCCCACACACCUGGGCCCGGCCAGCAGUGCAGCAAGAGGAACUGCAGAGGCUUUGCUGGAUGUGUUCAAAGGUGUGAGCUGUGCUGAAACCCAGUCAGACCAGGCUUUGGUGUCACUUACCCUUCCUAUUGCCCUCCCAGGUUCAAGGACCGGGCGACCCAGCGCCACCAAAUUUAGGUUUGCUGUCUGAAGGUCAUCCUCAUCCAGUUGUUUCCUCCCAGCAGUGCUUGGAAUUGGGUCUCACUGGGAAGGUCCUUUCUGGUCGCUCUGUCCCUAGGACCCUGCCCAUGGGACCGACACCGCCCCAGCCAGGAAUGGCCACAUAGUGGAAUGGCACUGGGGAGAUAUAGGAACACAUCUCUGAAGCAAAUCCAAGGCAAAAUAGCAAAAUAAAGCUGUGCAUCUCAUUCCCCUCUCUGCCAGUCACUGUGUAAUGCCUCGGUUUUGCUUUUGGUCUAAGUGUCAGCUUUGCAGUUCAUGAUUACACUUCUGAGAGCAGCCAGAUCCCUGUGUUAUCAAAGCACUGCCAUGGCAAGUGGGGCCAAAAGUGGGCAACAUAAGAGAACCUGGGGCAAUGAAGACCUUUGUGCUUUAGCCUCAACAUUCUAAUGAAGAUGUUUUAUAUAGACAGCACAGAAUAGCCAAAGAAUUUAUCAACAUUUGUCGAUAUUCCUAAUGAAGCAGAAGAUUCAACAUGCAAUAGAAUUAGCCUACAAGGAACCCUUGUGUAGGGCCCAUCCUUCUGAGUCCAGAAAUCUCCUGCUUAUUCCAGUCCAAUACCCUUUUGAGAAAUGAACAUCUCUUGAAAUCAUUAUCAUUAUAAGCUAAAAGGCCAAAUGAGACAAAGUACUGUUGCUCUUCAUCUGAAUAAACAAAUCAUUUUUAGAUCAAAUGCAUUAACAAUUUAUCAUGCUAAAAUCCAAUCAAAAGGAAAAAACAACAAUACAGAACAUUGAUUUCUUACAGCUUUAUCUUAAUGAAGUGCACAUUCCCUCUGUAAUUAGCUUUGGAAGGUUUUUUUCCCUUUCCUCAAGUUAAUGUGUUAUUUGAUUUCCAUCCAAAUGUCACUAAAUCUGAGGAAUUUUCCCCAAAAUGAAGUGGCUUUUGAUAAUACAGGAAAACGUCUGCUCUCUCAUUUGGCUAUUUUUCCCCCAAACAGCCAUACUUGUACUGCAGAUGAUUCAACUUUAUUGCAUGGUGUCUUUGCGAGGAUGUUUAAAUCAAUGCCACAGUUGCUGUAUUCUGCACAAUGUGCCAUUUGUAAGCCAGAAAAUACAACCUCGGUGCUUUUAUCCUUUUUCUUACAGACAUAAAAUAUUAAUUUAAUUUAUAUUAUUACAGGGGAAAAAGUGGACUGUGUUUUAUUAACAUUUCUAAAAUUAUAGGUAUUCAACCCAAAAAAUAUGCUUCAGCCAAGGCUGGGAAGUCUUCCGCUUGGAUUUUAUUUGACUUAAUUAAAAAGCACUCAGUUCCUAUGGGCACUAAAGGAGCUGCUGACAGUGCAGUAGCCACUCAGUCUUUCAAAACUAUUACCUGAACUUAAUAAAGUGUCUAUUUAGUUUAUACACCUCCAUGAUCCCACCUGUCUCCCACCAACAUGAUGCAAUUCUUGCUAAUGGCUGGAGAAGGCAGCGGGUUGAUGGCAGCCCACAGGCACCCCAGGCAGAACAAUUCCCAUAUCCUAUUGCCUGCCCUAUCUACCUUUAAUCACAGGGUCACAGAAUGGCUUGAUUUGGAAGAGACCUUUAAAGCCCAUCUGGUCCAACCCCCCGCAAUGAGCAGGGAAACCCACAGCUCCAUCAGUGCUCAGAGCCCCUCCAGCCUGACCUUGGGUGUCUCCAGGGAUGGGGCACCUCUCUGGGCAACCUGUGCCAGUGCUUCACCGCCCUCAGCAUAAAAACCUUCUUCCUCAUAUGCCAAUAUCCGAAGCGUUCAAAUCUCCACCAUGCUUGUAAUGAUCAAUGCUAGGAAAGCUUUUUCCCGGCUGCCUCUCUGCUCCUCCACUACAUAUCUCAUUUAAAUCUUUUCUUCUUUAAAUGAUGCUGAACAGAGGACUAUUGCUUUCAUCCUGCUUCACUGAGUAUUUGCUGAAAUGCAGUGGCUAAUUUGAUAGUCCGGUUUUAUUUGGACGUACUGUCGAGACAGAGAGCAAGAUCUAUAACAGAGAAUAUAACCCCAAAUCCUACCAAUUACCAGCUUAUUCCUUAGUUAUACAGGAGACCACAAGUGACCUUAUCAAAAUCUUGACUCUCAAUAUGAACAUCUUCGUCUUAAUCCAAAUUUCACCCUGGAGCUGAAGGUCCUGCUUCAUACACAGCCUAAGAACUGCGGAGCAUCCAUUGCAGCAGGGAGCCCACCCCUGGGACAGGGCUGCCCGCCGAGAGCUGCAGCUCCUGGAACUGGCAGCAGAAAUAGUUUGGAGUUUGGAUUUUUAAACUCACACACUCAAAGAGAACAAAGCUGUUCCCUAAUACACUUUGUGCAUUUUAUGGACCGAACAAUUAAAGAGGUUUUAAAACAUCUGCUGACUGCAUAAUUCCAUACAGGGGAGUGUACUCAGCAUUUUUAAACAACAACGGGUACGAGAUACCACUUAACAGUACAAAACACCAUCAGUCCCGUUAAAAUCAAUAGAAAAUUAGAUGCUAUGAAAAUGCAAUAUGUGUCCAAUUAGUUAUAAUUGGAGCAAAUGGUGAUGCAGAUAAACUCCUGGAGUAAGAUGCAUUUGUCCGGCCCGCUCCCUGCCUGCUUUCGGCACAGCACGGUAUCGGCAGUGGCAGGCUCUGCUGUGCCCCAUAGCAUGAAGGAUGAUCCCUCUAAUACACGUAUGUUAACUGUUAUCUAAUUAUGGAGCUGCUCUGAGCCUGCAGGACUGUUUCGGUGCCCCACCGUGCGCGGUGAAAAAUGAUCCUCUGUCACACGGAAACCUCCCUGUUGUACUUGACAAAUUAUGCCAGCAAACCUGUUUAAGAACUAAAAAAUCCUUGGACGCGGUGACAGGCCAAGAAAUAUGUUGUUUGGGGACAGAUAUUUAUUUAUUUAUCUGGCAGAGGUUAAGAGCCACCACUCGGUUCACUUCUCCCCUGCCUGUCUCCGUUCUGGCAGCUCAAAAUCCGUCUCACCGAUUGUUUCGCCGGUUUCUUUCAACUCAUAAAAACUCCAUUGCAAGGCAAAACAGGAACUAGGUUAUGCGAUGCCAGCGCUUUAUUUUUAACAUCUCCCCUGCAACACGUUGGCCUCCUCUUGGUUUAAUCUUACAACUAAAGGAAUAAGAGCGACGGUUCCGCACAUCCCCAACCGAGUAUUGCCGCCGGCCGCGCUGCCAACCCUCCGUGCCCUUGCAGGGUAUGGAAAUGUGAAACUACUCACGUUGCUCUCAGUACAACCCAUAUUAACUUUGGGGGGUAUUUUUUUCAUAUAUUUGUCUAUAAAGUAGAGAUUACUUUACACAAACAAUUAGCUCAGAGGUAAGAAGCUAUAACUACCGGCAGGGCUCUUAUUUUAUUCCUGUUUUCUGUUAAUAUUAUUAUUCUAAUCAGCAGUAAGGACUGGUGGGUGCAAAGAAAAGCUCCUGUUUGCCCGGCCCUGAAACCUCCUUGUGUUAUUGCUGCUGUUACUUACACGGGAAAGGGAACUGUCUCUUGAGGAAGGGAAAAAAAUGGAGGUGGCAGCUUUUAUUUGUUAAGCUGACUCAGCUGGACAGUGGAACAAGAAAUGUUCAGAUCCAAUCCAUAACUUUUGUGGCCGCUCUAAGGACGUAUUCUUCCUCGACACUGAUAAAAGUUUAAUAUGGAGUUGCCCAGGUUUUUAAUAAACUUGUCAACAAAAGAGCAAGGCAAAUUGAUGGGGACCUUCCCAGGAAUAAAUUCCACUUCAAAUAGGCCAAAUGAGUGUGGAGGACAGAGAGGGGAAGGUACACGGGCAGCUUCUGCUGUUCUUUGCAAAAAUGGCACAAUGGAUUUUAGUGGGUGCGUAUGUGUGUGCGUCUUAUUAUCUCUGAGACAAGGCUUUAGGACAAAGCUUAAAUUAAAGAACACAACCUGGUGUGGCUCAGAGCCCUGACACGGCAAGGAAGGGAAGGGACAAAGCUCCGGCACUGAUUUAGCGGUGAAGCCAUUCCCCACUAAGGAACUGCCAUCUCACCCUGCGAGUAGUGCCGCAUCUCCCAGUGCACCUGAAGGCUCCAGGCAUCUCCUACCCAGACUGUGGUCACUUUGGGACCAUCCCCAACACACUCUGCAACAACCUUUACUCAUACGCUGAGUAUCACCUGUGCCCACCCAUGCAUCACCUGCCCGCCAGCAGACCCUCUCUACUCUGACCUGUGAUGCCAACAGAGUUUUAUCCCACAUCCCCCACUACGCACAUCACAUUUCAGCUACUGCCUGCGCGUUUAUCUCCACUCAGUCAAACCAAUCCCAUUCACUGCUCAAUUUUUUUACUUCCAUACAUCAUGAGCUGCCUCCAGGCACCACACCGCCCCUUCCCAUGGCAUUGACUGCAGGCAUGGCAGGAGGGGCACACACUGCAUGCUCUGCAAGCUUGGGAUGGAAAUCUCUGCACGAGAUGCAUUAUUUUCUAUUAGCCUCCAUCAAGCUGGUGCCUUAAAUUAUUAAGCUUUGUUGUGGUGUUGGUUUGUUUUUUUUUUUAAUUUGUUGACCUGAAGUAAACACAAGUAUUAAAUCAGAUUCCAAUAAUCUCACUGACAGUAAAUUAACUCAUUGUGUCCUAGAGGGGGACGCAACCGCAUCUUGGCCACUCUGAGCAAUGCUUCACCAUCCCUGCAGAUUCCACAUGCAUGCAAUGGGGUAAAAAGCAGAAGGCCAGAUCCUGCCUCCAACCUUGGGCCAUGUCCCAGAUUGGAAGCUCUGCCUGGAUGCCGCGAUGAAAUUUAUUCCUGAUCAUUCUUAGGUCACCGGAUUCCUGCUCCGGUAGCUUUACCCGACCCCCCAAAUGCCAGGGUCGACGUGCCUAUGUAAGGGCUUUGCAGGGACGGCUCCUGCCCUCACAGCUGCUUGGGGACUUCUGCAGCCGGUGGUCACGAGCCCCUGGCUGCCCAGAUGCCACCUAAUCCGGCCCGGCAGAGGGGCAGCUGAGAAUGAGCACUAUUUAUACCAGCUGCUGCUGGUCCCGCUGGGCUGCCUGUGGCUUUUUUAGCUAGCAGCUCCCAUCCCAGCGCAGGCCAUAUCUGGACAUGGCACAGGCAGAGUGCUGUGCUUCGAGAAGAGAAGAAAGAAAAAAAAAAGAGGGAAAAAAGGAAAAGCUGCAUCUGUUUUAAGAUGUCAGGCACCCUGUUUCCAUCAAAGCAUCCUGAGCACCACCAAAACUGCUCCAACUGCUAAAAGCUUCACUAUAAACUUGCCUCUUAUUCCAAGUGUGUCUGUCCUCUGACAACCUUCCACCCGUGCACAUGGCUAUUGGCCUCUGUUCCUUCAUACAGACCUCUAUGCAAGAAAUGCAAGCUCAAAGCAAGGGUGAAUGCUGACACUGCUUACACAGUGUGAGCAGAAUCUCCUUUGGAGAAUUACAGGGUGUCAGAGGAGGCAGGCGGCUUGGAGCUCUGCCUGUUGAGGAGGCUGCACAAGACUUUGCAUUUUGGCCAUUACACACUCAGAAUGAGCUUGUUCUUGGGUAAUUGCACCAAGACCUUCUCCAGUCCUAUCCCUGCAAUGGCUUCAGCAUCUCUACAUGAGCAGCCCCCUCCCUCUGGGGGAAUGCAAGGCAGGGGAGCAGCAUAGCUGCCUGCAGCCCAGCAAGCAGGCGGUGCAAUGAGCUGCACUCGCCAUGACCCUGCAUCCCAACAGGGAAGCAUCUUGCUGCAUGAUGGCUUCAGGUCAAGAGCAACUUCAGCAGAAAGCGCUAAACUGAGCGCCUUCACUGGGAGGGAAUCGCUGAAAUCAGCGCCCGGCUUUCAGGGGAGGGAUGCGAGCUCCGGAGCGAGGAUAUUUCUCUUGCAAGGAACACACCACCCCCUCGCCCACAGCCACCGUGAAGUGCAAGAUGUGGUGAAACUCUUUAAAAAUAGAUAUAUUCCCAAGCAAUACAUGCCGCUCGCAUCUGGCAGGGCAAACCUAGCAUGGAAGCUCUUGCUUACAGACUAAAAAGCCUCGGAGCAGCUCAAGGCUCCUGCAACCUUGUCUCUCUCCUCGAUUCUUCAGAGCCCGCUCUUGUUCUUGGCCUAACCCAGUCCUGGGAAGCACAAGGGAAGCCCUGCCCAGCUAGGCUGGUGUCAAAGGCAGGGAAAGAUACUGCAGUGCAGUGCUGAUCUCUUCUGCAAUCGGACGUGCAGACUAGCCCGAAUGCUGAGUCAGCACAAUUUCUUUUUUGAUUGGUUGAUCCGAGUAACAUACUUUCAAUGUAUGCUAAAGGGGCAGCAAUUAAUAUGUUUUCCCCCCGUUCUCCACCUUUCCAAACCUCCUCAAAUCAAACACACAAAUCUCACCCCCAAAGUCACUCUCUGGUCCUAAAUAUUCUGAGGCUCUUUCAUUUUUAAUUUAGGGCAUUAAAAAAAAAAAAAUUUGCAAUCUAAGCGAUGCUCACUUUGAUCGACUUGUGCUGCAGCAGCUAAAAUAUCUGUCCUGCAGGUCAAUCUAAUCAUGCUUAAUAGCAGUUUAUUCUUCAACGCAACAUUUUUCACAUUGGGUCGACAGUUUUAAAUGAGAUUGCUGAUGCACCCCUUUACUAAUGCUUUCACCAGGGCCAGCACAUCCCUUGAAAUACUCGUGCAAUAAAAUGAAUGCUUUAUUGCUCUUGAUGAAUGCACUAUUAAACUUGAAUUGCAAAUAUGCCCCCCCCCCCCUUUUUUUUUUUUUUUUUACAAAAGAAGAGUGCUGGGAUUUAUUGGACCACCUGUCUUCCAGUAUUAAGUAAUAGCAACAAAAGUAAUAAUAGCUCAUCAACAUAAACACAUGAAAGGGAAAAAAAUAAUUCAGGGGAAAACACACAGCACGAAUUCAUCCCCGUGCUCCCAUGCGCGUGUGCAAAAUUCCCAUUCUAUACCUGCCCGUAGUUCCUCUUAUGUGCAGAAAAUUCAUCUCAAGAACGGAUGGGUUUUGUGAGGCAUAGAAUAGGAAAACGUAACUAAUUUGGUCCACUGGAUUUAUGGCUUUUACAGUCCUCAGAGCUCCCGUUUCUGCUGGUGGGACCGCUCAGUGCGCGCUUUGCGGGACGGAUGGGCACAGCCGAGCAUCGCGCCUCGCUUCAGCACAGAACCUGCAGCUCUGCUCUAUGGAGAGCGAAGGAGAAGAGGCUUUCUUCAAGCUAAGAAAUAGGGAGGACCUAGUGUGGAGGAACAGUCACAGUUUUAAUCCAAACAAGAAGAAAAGCGAGAAGGAGCUGGAGCUAAGAGUAAGAAUGGCGCAAACUGGUGGACGAUGCUAAUGACUAAAGGGCUGACGUGGUUUUGGGGUCUUUACAGCAUUUCUAUUUAUUUUUUGGCAUUGCCACACUGCACCAGAGAUGGGGUAGGGUCUCAGGAUGUGUUCUGCACCCACACACCUCCACCACGUGGCUCCCACACCGUGAGACAGAGCUGAGUUAUGGUUUUGAAAAUAUUUACAUAAAAAUAAAUCUGAACACUUAGUGACUUCCUAAAGUUAGCAAUUCCGUGUGAUUAACAAGCAUAUUAAUUCAGAGAGGGGGAAGGAGAUAAAAAUUGCAUUAGGGAUGCAGGUAUCUGUUGUAAAUCAGACCAUGAGCACCUUCGCUAGAGAUAUGCACAGUGAUGUGGAAGGCUCAGUAACACCCGCGCUGAGAAUGCAGAGAAAGAGAAGAAAACAAGAAAAAGAAAGAGCAAGACAAUGAGAGAAUGAAAGAAAAGAGAAAAAAAAAAAGAAAAUAAAGAAGAGAAAAAUAUAAGAGCGGAGUUGAAAGCAAGAAAGCAAGCUAGAAAUAAGGAGAAAAUGAGAAGCACACAAGUAGAAGACAAGGAAAGAAGGAAGGAGAGGAAAGCAGUGAGGAAAAGGGAAUCGAGAAGAGGUAGGGUAAAAGGUCACCUGGGAGAGGAGGGAAAUUGCUAUUGUGGCCAGAAUGGUGAGAAUCAUCCCCAUUUUUCACACAGCAAGUCAAGCUCCCAGCAGUGAUGUACAAGUGAGAGAAAUUGCAGCCCUGUUUGGCCAUGGGAACUCUGCUGCUCCGUCUCUAUUCAUUUCCCAGCACCUUUGUAUUUAAUUGUGGCCCCAAACUGGGGCAGGACACCCUCAGUGGCUGGGACCCAUCCCUGUCCAGGGGACAAUGCCUCUCCUCAAAGCACCUGGCAAAGCAGAGGUCCCUCCUCCCCCAAGCAGAGGUUGAGCACUCCAUGUGUGUCCACCACUUGUAUCAUCUUUCUAAAAAAAGAAAGAUUUAUAAAACUUACAGAAUUCUGUACAUUGGAAAUCUCCUUAAGAGCCCAGCCCUCCUUACUUAACCUGCUAUUCACAAGUGCCUGCUUUCCGUUAAACCCCAUUUGGUGUACGUGUAACAAGUGGCAGCAGUGCUUGCCAUGAAUCACAACAAACUGAGGCUCAGCAAAGGCCUUCAGAGCACUUUUGCCAAGCACAGAGAUGUGCUGAAACCAGAGGGAACUUGCUCCAGAGCAGAACACUGCUGUGCCCUCGGCUGCACGGCGGGGUGAUGGGGAUAAGUUUGCGAGUAGGUGGGAUGGAGAAAUGCAGUGCCUAACAGCCCAGAUAUGUGCAUCUCAUAAGCUUGAGGAAAAUGGGGGCUGAAAGCUUCACCCGCCCCUACCCAGACAGAAAGUUCUGAUUGUUCGCACAGAACGUUACACCCAUUUGUAUCAUUGCAUCUCACUGCCGUGGGAUGCUGGGAGAAUAACCAGGUGUUUUACGAUGAGAAAGGUUAAAAAGGAAAACCAGAACACCAGGAAAGCUUCUCAAAUUCAAGGUGCUAUUUUCCUUAUUUCCCUCUAAUAACCCUCUAAUAACACACACUGGGAGCGCUCACUGCCUCUGGCUGGGAGCUGGGCACCCACUGGCCAUGUCCAAGGGCCAACACACGCACAGUGAACAUUGCUUCCUCUCCAGCAUUAAGCACAAAAAGUUUUAACACAGGAAACAUCCCAAAAGCUGUCUGCGUAUUUACGUGAAGCCAAAAUACUGCACCUCCAAGUCACAACUCCUUCCCUUCUUCUCCCCGCCUCCAACUCCUUUCCUUUUCCCUAGGAUUAAGGACCAGCUCUUUUACCCAGCCUUAUUUUUGGGAAAAAGGGCCGAGGGGGAAGCAGCAAUCCGGAGGGACUGGUCUGUAUCCCCGCUGAAAACCAGGAGUGGACAGCCAGCUUUCCUCUGGCAUCGCCUUUCAAAGCCCAUGCCGCAGUCAGCAUAUUGAAUAUUUAAUGUCCUGAUGAGCAUUUCCACCUGCUGACACAGGCAAAGUGACAGAACAAUACACGCACUGGAACAAGAUCACCAAUUGACUCCCCAGCCAGUCUGCCAUGUCAGGCAUCUCAAAAAAAAAAGACAAAAAUCUGUCUGUCUUCCUCCCCCCCCCCCCCUUCACACGGGGUCAUACAUUGCUCCUCCGAGAAGAG